GAUGAAGAACGCAGUGAAAUGCGAUAAGUAAUGUGAAUUGCAGAAUUCAGUGAAUCAUCGAAUCUUUGAACGCACAUUGCGCCCGCCAGUAUUCUGGCGGGCAUGCCUGUUCGAGCGUCAUUUCAACCAUCAAGCCCCCGGGCUUGUGUUGGGGACCUGCGGCUGCCGCAGGCCCCGAAAACCAGUGGCGGGCUCGCUGUCACCCCGAGCGUAGUAGUUUACACCUCGCCCAGGGCGUGCCGCGGGUUCCCGGCCGUUAAACCCCCCCAUACCACAAGGUUGACCUCGGAUCAGGUAGGAAGACCCGCUGAACUUAAGCAUAUCAAUAAGCGGAGGA
rnacentral:misc_RNA from 1 species